AGAGCUCUCGUCUCCGUCCCGAGCUCCUAUGUUAUCCUUGCAUCUAUUCUUUCUCUCUUACUCCGGAGUCCAAGAGCUCUCGGCUCUGUUUCUCUCCCACGAGCCCCAAUCCGCCCCCAGCUGCUCCGGCCGGUGCCACCUCCCCACCGCCCCAAUCCGCCCACCACCUCUCUUAUCCUACGCAACAGCGCAUUCUACCUGCUCCGUCCACCUCCUAUGCUCCUCCUCUAGCAAGGCACGGCAGCGCGCAGCGGCCAGCACUGGCGCAUGCGCGGGCGGCACCGCGGCCGGCGUGGCGCGGGUGGUGGGCGCGGACGGCACCACGGCCGUCGUGGCGCGGGCGGCACCACGGGUAGCUUGGCGCGGACAACUCGGUGAAGGACUCGCUCGUGGGGAGUUCGCCGAUGGAACUUCGCGCCAAAUCGAAGGAGUCCGCACCGGAUCUCUUGCCCUCGUCGGCUCUGCUGGAGGCAAGUCCAAGGCAAGGCAAGCGGCGGCAAGGAAAUGCAGCAGGACACGCGGUGCGCUCCUGCUGGUGGGCAGCGGCGGUGAGCUCGACACUUGCGGCCGAGUGCGCUCGACACGUCCGGUACGGCGGCGCCGACCGCCGGGCCCGGCCGAGGCCGAUGCGUGCAGCUCGCUGGCGCGGCUGGCACCGGCGAGCGAGGGUGCAGCUAGCAGCUAGUAUAGCACAAUUUAGGAACAAACUCCAUUCUUCAAAGAUGCUCAUAAUGUUUAUAGAAGUGUGAGUGUACGUGCGUCGUGAGUGUCUGAGCUGUACUGUAUAAUCUAAAAUAAGAAAGCAGUUAGCAGCAAGUAUAGUGUAGCACAAUUUAGGAACAAACUCCGAUCCCCUAAAUGUUGUUUGCAAUGACGACCUCAUAGUGUAUAUAGUAUGAUUGGUUACAGGAGUAUAUAUAUGCUAGAUGCACGGAUGGAAAUGUGCAUGCGUAUAUAUUAUAGUAAUAGAGUAGUACUGCCCGUAUCAUUAUAUUCAUGCAUGCCUGAAUUAAUAUUAAUUCCUCGAUCGCCUUCCAUCACACUAGCUAGCUCGUACAUAUGUCUGGAUUAUCGGUUCCAUGUCAACAGCUGGAUGGUAGCUCAUAUCAUCCUAGGUAUACUUAGGUAGCUUGCACCCUCCUGAUCCUGAUCGUCUAGCGGAUCAUCACUGGCGGCAGCACUUAACUUGCGCAGUAUGCUUGCAUGCAUGCAUCUAGUAUCUCCGGAUA